CCUUUGGGAAUGAUAAGACUGGCACCAGAAUUGAGGCGGGGGCGAGUCUGACCCACGUUCCGCGUUUUAUGUCAUUCAUGAACUGGAGCCUACGCUUUGGAUCGCGUGUCCUCUCUACAUUCCUGAACUAACUUAUAAAACUCCUACUUUGUGUGCUUUCCUUCCCGAAGAUGGGGGAGGGAGGAACUCAGAGAAGGAAUUUAAGGAAUUCUAGACUUGAUGGAUCCUCGGAGGAGGGUGGAGUCCAGCUCAGCCAGAAGACCCGAGCAGCGGCAGAAGGUCGAGGAUGGAGCUAAGGCAGGAUCCGGGCGAUGCUAGUGGACAGCAGAGACGGUCCGGUUUGGGGGAGAGCGAAGGAUUGCAGAGUGGAGGUGGGAGAAGGCGGAGCUUAUGUUAAACUUAAGAUGGCA